AUUUGGAAGGAAGUUUUCGGAUGGAAUUCCAGAUGACUUAGCGGCGGACGGGUGAGUAACGCGUGGAAAACCUGCCUCAUACAGGGGGAUAACAGUCAGAAAUGUCUGCUAAUACCCCAUAAGCGCACAGUUCCGCAUGGGACAGUGUGAAAAACUCCGGUGGUAUGGGAUGGUUCCGCGUCUGAUUAGCUAGUUGGCGGGGUAAAGGCCCACCAAGGCGACGAUCAGUAGCCGGCCUGAGAGGGUGACCGGCCACAUUGGGACUGAGACACGGCCCAAACUCC
rnacentral:rRNA from 1 species